rnacentral:rRNA from 1 species
GCGCACCAGUCGCGAAAACUUUACAAUGUGCGAAAGCACGAUAAGGGAACUCUGAGUGCCUCCUAAGGAGGCUGUUCAGGUGUCUAGAAAGCACCUGAAGGAAGGGCUGGGUAAGACCGGUGCCAGCCGCCGCGGUAACACCGGCAGGCCCAAGUGGUAGGCCACGUUUAUUGGGUCUAAAGCGUCCGUAGCCGGCUGGGGUAAGUUCCUUGGGAAAUUUGGCUGCUUAACAGUCAAGCUUUCAGGGAAUACUGCCCGGCUUGGGACCGGGAGAGGUCAGAGGUACUCCAGGGGUAGGGGUGAAAUCCAUUAAUCCUUGGGGGACCACCGGUAGCGAAGGCGUCUGACCAGACCGGGUCCGACGGUGAGGG